AUGAACGCUAGCGGCAGGCCUAAUACAUGCAAGUCGAGGGGCAGCGCGGUAGCAAUACUGGCGGCGACCGGCGCACGGGUGCGUAACGCGUAUGGAACUUGCCCUUUACUAAGGGAUAGCCCGGAGAAAUUCGGAUUAAUACCUUAUAGUAUGGUGAACUGGCAUCAGUUUACUAUUAAAGAUUUAUCGGUAAAGGAUAGCCAUGCGUAUGAUUAGCUAGUUGGCGGGGUAAUGGCCCACCAAGGCGAUGAUCAUUAGGGGGUCUGAGAGGAUGAUCCCCCACACUGGUACUGAGAUACGGACCAGACUCCUACGGGAGGCAGCAGUAGGGAAUAUUGGACAAUGGGCGAGAGCCUGAUCCAGCCAUGCCGCGUGCAGGAAGAAGGCCCUCUGGGUUGUAAACUGCUUUUGACAGGGGCCAAAAUAUCCAUGCGUGGAGAAUUGAGAGUACCUGUAGAAUAAGCACCGGCUAACUCCGU
rnacentral:rRNA from 1 species